CGCAGCCUGAUGCAGCCAUGCCGCGUGUGUGAAGAAGGCCUUCGGGUUGUAAAGCACUUUCAGCGGGGAGGAAGGCGAUGAGGUUAAUAACCUUGUUGAUUGACGUUACCCGCAGAAGAAGCACCGGCUAACUCCGUGCCAGCAGCCGCGGUAAUUGAGC
rnacentral:rRNA from 1 species